rnacentral:rRNA from 1 species
GGAAUAGAAGAGUGCAUCUCCGAUGUUGAGGAAGUGAAACUAGUGAAGGAUGUCAAGGGGAAGUUGGAAGAUGCUGUGGUGGAGCCACCAGAAUGGCUCCCAGAUGGUUGGAUCAUGGAGGUCCAACGUGACGACGAUGGUGCCCUGUACAAGUAUUUCAUUUGUCCAGUGCCAGGGGCCAAAUUCAGGAUGAAGGCCGAGGUCCUGAACUACCUUUUCUCCGAGAUGGAUGAGCGCUACUUAGAAGCCAAGGAUCAUGUUGAUCAUAACAUGCUUCUGAAGUCACAUGAAUGGCUUCCAAAAGGGUGGUUGAUUGAGAUCAGAGCGGGCGGAGAAAAUAUGGACAAGAUAUACAAGUUUUAUGUUUACCCGGCAAUGGGAGUACGGGCAUUUUCUAAAGAAGACGUUCUACUGUAUGUUAACGAAAUGAAGAUCUCCAAAUAUGAUACAUAUGGGCAAUGCGACACAAGCUCUCGGGAUAAUAUCCUUGCAGAAGUGGAGUUCAACCCAUCUGGGCUGCCACAUGGAUGGGUGAAAGAAAUGGUAUACAGAAAAACUUUGGAAGGAACAAGGAAAGAUCCGUACUACACAGAACCUGGUAGAAAUUAUGUAUUUAGGACAUUGACGUCCGCAAUUCGCUACCUUCAAACGGGGAACAUUACAAAACGUUCCUUUAUUCAAAGGACAAGUGUCCAUGAAUUGUACAACUUUGAGAAGUCUGCAGAUCUGCAUGAGAGUUUACGCAAAAGACUGGCAAAAAAUGUGAUGAAUGAUAAAACCCAUGCAAGUCCUUCGAGACCUAGAAGAUCAACAGAAGGGAAAAAGAUAAAUAUCAAUGAGCAAAGUUUAGGUAUACAUGAGGAUGUCAACACCUCUACACACUUAGUUCCUCCCAAUGAGCACCAAGAAAUCAAGAAGAAAAACAUGACGGCUAAAGGGAAAGAAGCAUACUCCUCCAAAGCUAUCAAGCGUCCAAGAGGGAGACCACCCAAAGUAGUGAAGCAAACUGAGGGAGGCAUAUCUAAGAAAGAAGAAUAG